CUGAUUCAAAGGAUUUUCCUGCCUCAGCCUCCAAAGCCUAAUGCUGUUUCACGUCCCUAGUAAGUUGCCCCUGCUGCUCGCCCAACCACAGAACUCUUUCCCACCCUUGCGUCAAUUUUGCCUGCCAACCACUGUUCAUCCUCUGGGACUCAACUCAAGCCCCAGGCAGCCUUCUCUGAGCUUCCAGAUUGAAGCUCCCCUCUGGUUCCUACUGCUUCUGGAUAUUUCCUCCAGCACAACAUUUAUGUAUCAAAAACAUGUGUUUGCUAUGCCCCACCUACUCCAUCCCGACACUUUGUGAGCUUCUCAAGGACAGGGUGCACAUCUUAUUCACCUUCGUCUCCACAAUGCCAAGCACAGGGCCUAUUACGCUUCAAUAAAUGUUUGCUCAAAUAUAA